UCCUGCACAUACACAAUGCCUUUGCCUAAGGGUGUCAUUUAAGUUUUUGUGACGUUCGCCGGCCCCUUCACAAAGGGCCCAGAUGGAGACAUAAAGAUGAUUAAUACUGCUUUGCUACGCUUUGAACACUGGGGGUUGUAGAUUACUAUCACUGCAUUGAAUUAUUCAAAGUUAUUUCCUGCAGCACGAUGACAGUAAAUACGAUGCGAACCAGCCAUUCGAGGCUCUUGAUCCUUGAGAUCUUGAGUCCCCUGGUCGCGUCUUUGACUCUCUGUGUGAUUCUUAUGUUCUCCGGCACCCGUCCAAAAGCAGGAACCCUUGUUGCGCUGGAAGCCACAAGUGGCGACCAAACAAGGACCUGAACGGAGGAAGAUUCACCGGAGUGAAACCGAAACUUGGGAAGUGUCGGAGAGCCCCGAGGGGAGAAAGAGGCCUCAAGAAUCCACUGCCGUCACUGAAAGUAAUAAUCAUACUUGGUCUCUGAGUCAUUCUCUAAGGAGGUCACAGGACUGUAACCUUACAAAAUAGCCUGAAUUACCAAGAAGACCACACCUUGAGUGUUUACAAGACAAAGAGAUCUAACUGCUGGCCUCUAUAGAACUGGUCACCUGAAGGCAUCAUGUCACCAUUCUAAGUCUUCUGAUGAGAAAAUUAUUCUGUUGCUUGUUAUCAAUGCUGUAUUGUUUGAGCUAUGGCUGUAUAUCCACCCCACCCCAUCUCCAAGGUGGGUUCGGUUUUGAAGGCACUAGCCUGCUAUGAGUCCCCUUUGCCAGGCAAAACAAUAAAAUUGCCUCUUCUAAGCUCCAAGACCUUGUCUCUGAAUUAUUUGGCUCAUCAGGGAUGGGACCGAUCUUUUGGCAACAAAAUCUUGGCGCCCACGCCGAGGCAAGAACCACCCUCUUUUCUAAGAGGGGCUUCAGGUUCCAUCCCGUUGCCAGGCCAACAAGGCUCAAACGACUGCCACUCCAGGCUGACAGGAAGGACAACAGAAUGGAGCCCAGCAACUGCCAGAGCCUUUUUGCCCUGGGGAUCCUUUCAUCCCAUGCCCUUCCAUCCAUCAACGGACUGCAACCACCCAAACUAACUCCUUGGAGGAGGAAAAGAUUUUUCUGUUUCUUCUGAAACGUCGCAUCUGAUCUGCAGGCCUAGGCUAAAUCUGCGAUACUUCAGAGGACCCCUGAAACAUCCCAAAGAGAGAUUUUAAACUAGACAGUCUAGGUUUGUUUCUGAAGCUCUGUCAUCUGUCCUUGGAUGAAGAUCCAAUGCCCCAUCACCUGCAACCAGGAGACUAUACAUACUGGAACAGACAUGAUUUAAAGAACUAUCUUCAGUCUGAAUGGAAGGACCCUUUAUCAGGUAUUCUUAACUAGACCACGCACAGUGAAAGCUAAAAGAAAUUGACUUUUGGAUUAAUUUCCAGUCAGAAAGAGCCCCUGCACCGGACUGGCCUAUAGAGGACUGCUCACCUUAAAACAGUGCUCAAGUGGAGAAGAAGCUACCAGACCAGGAUGAGAAGAAGACGACAUCUGAGGGCCAGAUACAGAACCCAUGUGGGUGCCCAGCUGGAGGAUUAAGCCCCACGAUGGACAGUCAAAAGAAAAGACACUUCUACUGGGACGUCGAAAGGCCCGUAAUGCAGAUGGAAGGCUUAAAGAUACAAACAACUCAACUGACUGAUGCUGCCCACCGUGCUCACAUGGGGCCAGAUUGAACGUUUAUGUCAAGAAGCAGAAAAUCUUCUGGAGGAACAGGAAAAACCGGCUACAGCUCCCAACCUGGUUGCAGCCACUUUCUCCCUAAUUACUAUUGCAGUACGUAGUCUCCCAUGUACCUACGCUAGCAAUUAUACAUACUGGGCAUAUAUUCCUAACCCGCAUUGCUUCGUCCAGUUACCUGGGGUGAGCCUUCCGUGCCCGUCUAUGUUAAUGAUUCUUCAUGGAUCCCGGGACGGAGGAUCAACGAUUACCACUGCAUCCCUUGGAAGAAGGGAUGCAGUUCAAUAUAACUAUGGGUUUUGAGGACCACCCUAUAUGUGUAGGAAUGGCUCUCAAAUGCUUAAAAUUAUCCAUGCAAGCUUGGCUGGCUAUUAGUCCAAAAAAUAGAAACUCCAGCAAGGCUCAGUUACACAUGUUUUCUGGGUUAAGUUUUAGAUAUGAAGAAGUUAAUAAUACUGAUCUAAAUCCACCGAAGUGACUUUUGUGUAAAAUUAAUAGAAUUUGGGCUACCGAGAGAGACGUUAUCCAUUGGGAUCAUUGCCGAGGAACUAAUUAUGUGAUUUUACUUAAUGAUUCCUAUGGAAUUGUAGUGGACUGGUCCCCUAAGGGGUAUGCAGUCCAGAAUUGUUCACAUAUAAAUUCCUCUUGUAAUCCUCAUAAAGCUUUGAAGUGGAGUGUGAAUAACUGUAAUCAUACUUCUAUCACCACGCAUGUGGAAUAUCCUAUCAUCUGGCAUGGGGGAAUCAUGGUAGCUCCCAUCCCGCAGACAUUUGGUAGGGCAAUCCACAACGAAGUAUGGAAAAUGGAAAAUGGCCUUGAGCCUCCGAGAGUUUAAGAUAUGGGAAGGUCGUUGUCGACACAAUCAAAACUACUGCCUCAAUUUUCAUACCUUUCCUAAUUCAACCCAUUGUAUUCAAACCUGCCUGAGAAAUCCACUUGUUUUUCUUACUGAGACAUUUUCUUUUAACCAUUCUAAUAAGGAACUUUUUGGACAGGGAAUAUUGUAUACCUGUAUGAACACUACCAUGUAUCAUGCUCAUCAUUCUUAUUUUAUCUUGAGAAGGCAUCUGGGCUCCUGGAUUCCUCUUUGCCAGAUCAGGCCUUGGGAAAGUUCUCCAGACGUGCAUGCUUUACUAACCAGUUUGGAGACGUUACUCAAACGUUCUAAAAGAUUCCUUGGAUUGCUAAUCACGGCAAUAAUGGGCAUUAUAGCCAUUGCCACCACUGCUGCAGUGGCAGGGUUGGCGUUGCAACAAACCAUUCAAACCACACAUUUUGUGCAGGAAUGGCAUGAAAAUGCUAGUUCUGCUUGGGGGAGUCGAACUCACAUAGAUGAAGCAAUCAACUCUCGUUUAAUUGACCUCGAGAGUGCUUUGGUUUGUCUAGGGGAGGAAAUGCAAAAUGUUAAACUGCGAUUACAUUUAAAAUGCAAUUGGAAUGUCACCUCCUUUUGUGUAACCCCAUAUUUAUACAAUCAAACUGCCACCCCCUCUGAAUACAGUUUUUCGCCACCUUUUGGGGCAUAAGAUAACCUAACCCUGGAUGUAAAACCAUUACAGGCCAAAAUGACUGGUAUGCAACAUGCGGCCCAACAGUUGCUGCCUUCCUCUGAAACUAUAGUGGGCUAGAAUCAUUAAACCCUGUUAGCUGGAUUAAAAAUUGGGGAGGAGGGUUAUUAGGGCUAUUGUCAUGUUGGCUAUAUGUCUAAUACUUCUCUGCUUAGUCUUCAGGUGCUUGCAGCAAAACUUCAGCAGACUAAUGAAGAAUGCUGCUCUCUCUGCGUUCCUCCUGAUAUAAAAACAAAAAGGGGGAGAUAUGGGAAAACAAGUCAACAUGAUGUCUCCUUGAGAACAAGAAAACAAGAAGUUCCCUUGUGGGGGCCUGGGAUGCAGCACAGAACUAAGGUGUUUCCUGAGGGCAAGCAACGCGGGUCUCGGAACACUGAGCCAUGCAUGAGCAGAGCACUGCUCCUGCACGUACACAAUCCCGUUUGCCUAAGGGAGUCAUUAAAGUUUCUGUGACGUUCGUUGGCCCCUUCACAAAGGGCCCAGAUGGAGACAUAAAGAUGAUUAAUACUGCUUUGCUACGCUUUGAACACUGGGGGUCUGUAGAUUACUAUUACUGCAUUGAAUUAUUCAAAAUUAUUUCCUGCAGUACGAUGACAAUACAUACAAUGCAAACCAGCCGUUCGAGGCUCUUGAUACUUGAGAUCUUGAGUCCCCUGGUCCCAUCUUUGAUUCUCUAUCUGUCUGUGUGUUUCUUAUGUUCUGUGGCACCCGUCCAUAAACAGGAACCCUUGUUGCGCUGGACACAAAAGGAGAGAGAUAUAUUAGAGAUUUAUUACAAAGAAUUGGCUUAUGUGAUUGUGGAGGCUGGCAAGUCUGAAAUCUGUAGAGCAGGCUGAAAAUUCUCAGGCAAGAGUUGAUGUUGCAUUGUCAAUGCAGGAAUUCUUCCUCUUCAGGGAAAUCUGUUUUUCUCUUAAGGCCUUUCAAUUGACUGAAUGAGGUCCACCCACAUUAUCAAGAGUAAGCUCCUUUACUCAAAGUCAACUGAUUAUAGAAUUAAAAAAAUUUUUCCCCAGAUUUAUUGAGAUAUAAUUGACAAAUAACAUUGUAGUAAGCUUAAGAUGUACAAUGUAAUGAUUUGAUAAACAUGUAUGUUGCAAAAUGAUUAUAUGAGAGAAUAGAAAAAAUACAUAUUUGUCUCUAACUCUAGUUCCUGGCACAGAGCUCCUAAAACCCUUGUAAUUUCCUAAGUAAUAACAGUACUGUGUUUUAAUAGUUGGUCUUUGACCCUGGUUCCUGACAGGAUUCCUAAAUCCCUUGGAAUUUUCUGGGUAAUAUCGGUGUCUUUCGUUUUAAUGAGGUAAUUCUUGGUGAGCUCUUGGAUAGGGGCUGGUCACCCAAAAAGACCAAAGCAUAAUUAGAAGUUUGGAAUUUUCAUUCCCAUCUAUUCUUCAGAGAGGGGAAUGGAGUUAAUAACUGAUCAUACUUAUGUGAUGAAGCCUCCAUAAAAAUCCCAAUAGUAUGGUGCUUAGGUAACUUCCAAGCUGGUGAACACAUCCAUGUACUGGGAGGGCAAUGCACCCCAACUCCACAGGGAUGGGAACUCUUGUGCUUGGAACUCUCCCAGACCUCUUUGAUGUAUCUCUACAUCUGGCUUUUUAUCUGUAUUCUUUAUCAUAUCCUUUAUUAUAUAAUAAACUUAUAAAGGUAAGUGUUCCCCUCAGUUCUGUGAGUUGUUCUAGCUAGCAAAUAAUCAAAUCCAAGGGGGCGCAGGUCAUGGGAACCCCCAAUUUGUAUUUAAGUCAGAAGUUGUGGGUAACCUGGGGACCUACUACUUGUGAUGGCAUCUGAAGUGGGGAGAAUUACAGUCCUCUCCUUGUUUCUGCAACUGGUCAUGUGGUCGUAGCUAAGAGCUUCUUUCAAUACCCAUUCCAUACUCCCUUUGCUCUCAGCAAGCACCUCAGCUGGUUGUGGUUCUUUGUGGUAGGAUGAGCUAAACCUCUAUUCCUGGAGAGUCUGGGUCAUAAGUAGUCCUGCCUGAACUGCAUUGUUAUAGUUUUCCACUGGCUUUAAUCCUAGGGCAUAGUAAUAGUAGAAGACUCCCUAAGAGAUUACUUGUAGUCCAGAUAUAAUUUUCCAUAUCUCCAUUGUAUAGUAGCAGCCCAAUUUUCCUUUGGUAAUAAGGAUCAAUCACCCCAAUCGUUAUAGUAACUCCCUUCUUUGCCUGUUGAUUGGAGGCACGAGGAACUCAAAGUAGCCAGGCGGCAGUCUUAACUUCAGGUCAAUGGAAUCAUCGUUGUGUCUCCUAGUGGAAGCAUUCCCCCCUUUGGAACUAAGACUUCUAGACAAGCAGAGCAUAAGGUCAUGGGGACAGAAGCAAAAAUUUUGCUAGUAAACCCCUGGGAGUAAUAGGGUACCACUCCAUUUCUACCUCUUUAUUCCUGGACUAGUGAAUAUUGGUUUAGAGAAUAUUCAGCCUCCUAGAGGAAUCUUUGUACAUAUCUCUGAUUUGAUGGGAUAAAUUUGCAGAAGUAAGAGUACUAAGUCAAUAGGUAUAAGCAUUUUUAAGCGUCUUGAUAGACUAUGCUCCGUUGCCCUCUAGGAUGUCAUGUCAGAGUUCACACCCUUUAGAAACAUGAGUAUUGUCUAUUUAAAUACACUGUUAUCAGUACUGCUACUGCAUAUUAUCAUUGUCAGCUCCAUUGAAUAAACUGUUCUAAGAAGGACUUUCUGUUGAGGAGGGAAGUCAAAUAUCUUGCAACCACAUGCCAGAUUUUUAAAAAAAUCUGUACAUUGAUUGAAAAAAAAAAGACCGACAAGCAAAACUCAAGCACUGGUUGGAAAAUUGCUACAAUUAUGAUAAAGAAGUUUCCAAAACUA